rnacentral:rRNA from 1 species
GUCAGUGUUAAAGACGGACAGGGUACACCCGUUCCCAUUCCGAACACGGAAGUUAAGCUGUUCAGUGCCGAAGAUACUAAGCUGGAGACGGCUUGGGAAAAUAGGUCAAUGCUGACA